AGGGAUGGGCUGGAAGCUAAGCUAGGAGAUAAUUAUAACUCCAUCCAUUAAGCACUUACUAUGUGCCAGACACGUAACAUCCAGCACUUCAAUUGGCUCUCCAAGCAGCCUUGUGGGGUCAGCACUCUUCUUGCUAGAGGGGCUAAAUGACCUGUCGAAGGAACCUGAUAAGGUCACUGUCUGAACCCGACUCCAGGACUCCAAGUAGAGACUUAAGUGUGAGAGUAGACAUCAAGUGUUCUCUGGGUGUUUUCUUCAAGGAGAUUAUCCAUUUUAAGUGUGUAUCUUCCAAUGAGGCUGGCAAUAUGGUGUGACAGAGGUCAACCUGGAAAGAGAAGAAAUUGGUUUCCCCCAGAGUGCACCAGGGUACUUCCUGAGUUGGUGACACCCCUCCAUGUGGAAAGAAGAGCAAACCAAAUGACAGAGACAGAGUGAGGCAGUGUUGCCAUCCAGAACAGAAGGAGAGGUCCCCUCCUUUCUCCAUUUGUGCCCAACAACUGUGUCUGAGGACUAACAGGUGUCAGACACAUUGGAGGCUCCGGAGAUACAGCUGUGACAAGGCGGACACAGGGCCCCAUGCCUUCAGACUCACAUUCUGUAGGGACAGGACGCCAAGAAACAGUCUCACACAGAAACCACAAAGAUUGGCAGCCACCACCAGAAGUCAGCAAGAGGCAAGGAGAUACUUGCUGGAGUUUGAGAGAAGAAUAUGGCCCAGCUGAUACCUUGACUUGAGGCUUCUGACCUCCAGAAAUGGGAGCGAACGUUUCUGUUGUUUUCAGGCACCCGUGUUUGUAACAGCCAUAUGACACAGCUUUGUCUUUGGAUCUACAAGAGACUAAAGUCUUUCAAAUGGAACCAAAUAAACUAAAUAAUUGAUUUUAACUGG
rnacentral:lncRNA from 1 species